CUUAUUCAUAUCUUUAUACCUUUAUACUCGACAGAAAAACCCAGCGGCUUCAAAGUUCAAAUCCACUGUCUCAGAUUCAGCUCCUUUAUAGUUUAGCUGAGAAUUCAAUAACAGUAUUUAUUUCCUUUUAUCGAAGGAGUGUUGUGUUGUGUCUUGACUAAACCCGGAGAAACAUGGGUCCAAAAUCAGUGUCAGACAUGAAGAUGAACGCUAUUAGGUCAGGGAUAGUGGUGUUGGGAACGCUUGCAUUCGGCUACUUGAGCAUACAAAUUGGUUUCAAGCCUUAUCUCGAGAAAGCUCAGAAACAGAACGCACUCUACCAAUCUGAUUCUUCUCAGGAAGAAUCGUCUUCAGCUUUCCCAGAACGCCCAUCGUAACCACACUCUGUUUGGAUUAGGAGAAAAGGAGGCAAAUUAUGUUGUCCCAGUUGUGUGAUGGUAACUAAUUACCUAGUUAGUUUUGUUUUGUUAAACUUUAUGUCUCUAUUUUAUUUCUUUAUAUAAUAUCAUCUAUCUGGCUUGAGCCCUGUUUAGUGAUGUGAUAUUAUCAUCUUGGAUUGUUAUAUGUGUCUGGAAUUGGCAAUAAUAUGUGUUCUCAAUACCCCAAUUAUCCCGAUAACAGUGUUUUUUCUCCUCUUUUUCUUGUUAUUUAUCUUAGAUAAUGAUACAAAUUGAAUUUAGCCUUUAGAAGAUGUUACUUGAUGGGGAGUUAGGGACUAUGCAUGCACUAGCUAUUUGCCUGUGUGUUCUAUUUCAGACUCCUAGGAAAUCUUUGUCCAUACAUUCUUCAUGAGCACAAAGUAUAGAUCAAACGUUAUUGAGGGUAAUCAAACCCCAAAAACACAAACUGAGUAUGCCACAGGCUACAGUUAAAUUCAGGCUGCAUUGUUUGCACCAGUAUUUUAUAUUUUUUUUCUCAGCAAAUUCAGCACACAUUGAUCUAAGAAAGUGCUGCACAACUUAUGAUGUCAAAGGAAGAAUGACAUAAUACAUGAUAAUGCUGUAAGACUAAUGUGGUUUGUUUGAUCUAUGAUAGUAUUAUGCAUUGGCAAUCCUCUGUGUGGAUUGUGGAUGACAUACUUCUAGCGCACAGAAGCCAAAUCAAGAGCUAAUGGAAGAAACGAAUAAAUGAUUCCAACCAUCUAUAACCGCAUCUCCAUCAGUAUAAGAUCAGUAUCUCCUUCUGUACCUAAAUGAAUAUGCAUUUCCUUCCUGUCAUUCUUUGGUUAAUGUUGAUGACACUGGAUAGUUUGAGCUUAGAAAGAAUGAGAGAGAGAGAGAGAAUUAGACUUUUUUUAAUUUUAUUUAUUCUCAAACAUAAACAUAAUAGGACUUUACCUUCUGAGCAUGAUAGUAAUUUAAAACAUUGCAUAUUCUUAUGAUGAUUUUGUGUCAAUUUUGUCUGAGAAACCUUGAUAAUUUAUUGCAUAGCGACCCAAUUUGUGGAUACCAUUGUUAUAGAUUAACUAGUAAACUCUAAUGAUGUUAAUUUUGAGUAAAUUAGUAAUUAACAUAAGUGUGAAUUAUGAUGCACAAUUACAAGCGUGGAAAUGGUUAAAGAAAAUGAAGUUUGGUUUCUGCUUUUCAAUAUCAGUUUGGAUAUUGAAUCCAAAUGUGUGCCUAGGAAUCUAGCUUAAUUGAGUAAAUGAUGAUGGAGGGGAUAUCAGAGAAGCCUACAAGUAAGGAGUGCUUGUUAUUGUCAACAUUGUUGGCUUGCAGUAUUUUUAUUGUUAAGAACAGGAGAAGUAGUAAUGUAUGAUUGUUUUCAAUGUUAUAGCUUUCAGGCUUUUUGCUUGGAAUGUUUACUAAUUUGGAUGGUUUUGUUGGUUCAAUUCACAAUCCCCUUUCACAAUGAUGACCCUACAACAAAUUUAUGGCCUUGUACUGGUUGGAUGAUUUAUUUCAACUUCUUGUGCUUUAAUCAAUUUCAUGAUUAAUUACAAUUUCUUUGCCUUUCAAAAAUCAAUAGUGUGAAC
rnacentral:sRNA from 1 species